GGGUCGUUAGCUCAGUUUUGAGUUGAGCGCAGCGAAACAACGGAGCCGCUCGCGGCGACGGCCCGAAGGGCGAGCGAAGCGAGUCAUCCUGCACGACCCACCA
rnacentral:tRNA from 1 species